rnacentral:pre_miRNA from 11 species
CAACACGUGUCCUUCUGGUUUUGGUUGUUUGGGUUCCUGGCAUGCUGAUUUGUGACUUAAGAUGAAAAUCACAUUGCCAGGGAUUACCACAUAACCAUGACACUGGCCUCUGUAACAGCC